UUCGCAAUGCCCGAAAGGGUGAACGAGCGACGCCGCGUGCGGGAUGAAGGCCUUCGGGUCGUAAACCGCUUUUGUAAGGGAAAAACUUAAUGACGGUACCUUACGAAUAAGAGGUUACUAACUCUGUGCCAGCAGUAGCGGUAAUACAGAGACCUCAAGCGUUAUCCGGAUUUAUUGGGCGUAAAGCGCGCGUAGGUGGGCCGGCACGUUCGUCGCUGAAAGCCCCCGGCUCAACCGGGGAAGCGGCGGGGAUACGACCGGCCUGGAGGGGCGUAGGGGGACCUGGAACUUCCGGUGGAGCGGUGUAAUGCGUUGAGAUCGGAAGGAACGCCCGUGGCGAAAGCGAGGUCCUGGACGCCUGCUGACGCUGAGGCGCGAAAGCCAGGGGAGCGAACGGGAUUAGAUACCCCGGUAGUCCUGGCCGUAAACGAUGGGCACUAAGUAGAGGGGUUUU
rnacentral:rRNA from 1 species